AUGACGGCCGAGAAAGGGACGAGGAAAAUGACGGGGGGGAAGGGUAGGGCCGGCGCGGGGAAAGCACCGGAGAUGGUGACCAUGGAUCUGCUCGGCGGGUGCGGUGGUGACGCCGGCGGGGAGGACGAGGUCGUCGAACUGGAGGUCAAGGUGCCCGCCGGCAGGGAGAAACGGCUCGACCUUCUGUCGGGCAAGACGUUCUUGACUCCUCAUCGCCACCAGGCCGCCCAAGACGGCCACCAGGACCUCAACCUGCCUCCCACGGCAUCAACCACCGCCGCCGUCACCACCACCUCCGCUGCGUUCUGCACCCUCGACAUGGUCCGCUGCGCCCUAGAGCGCGCCGCCACAUCGCCGGCCACAUCGUCCUCCUCGUUGGGGUCCACCUCAUCCUCGUCCUCCUCCCUGGGAAAGCGCAGCCGCUCGCCGCCUUCAAGCACGGCGUCGCCCGCCGCGAACCCGGCCAUGCGCGCGUGCGCCUGCCCGUCCUGCUUCACAUACGUGCUCAUCACCGAGGCCGCCCCCUGGUGCCCACGGUGUGCAUCGAAGGUGCCGCCGCUCCCCAGUAAGCCCGUCGCACGCAGCAGCGGGAAGAAGCCCAUGAUUGACUUGAAUGCUGACCCCGAUGAGACCGAGUGA
rnacentral:rRNA from 1 species